GUCUGGUCAGGGUGAAGGUAUGGGUGGAGGUAUGGGUGGAGGUGUGUCUGGUCAGGGUGAAGGUAUGGGUGGAGGUGUGUCUGGUCAGGGUGAAGGUAUGGGUGGAGGUAUGGGUGGAGGUGUGUCUGGUCAGGGUGAAGGUAUGGGUGAAGGUAUGGGUGGAGGUGUGUCUGGUCAGGGUGAAGGUAUGGGUGGAGGUGUGUCUGGUCAGGGUGAAGGUAUGGGUGGAGGUAUGGGUGGAGGUGUGUCUGGUCAGGGUGAAGGUAUGGGUGGAGGAAUGGGUGGAG
rnacentral:lncRNA from 1 species